GAUGAAGAACGUAGCAAAAUGCGAUACUUGGUGUGAAUUGCAGAAUCCCGUGAACCAUCGAGUUUUUGAACGCAAGUUGCGCCCGAAGCCUUUUGGCCGAGGGCACGUCUGCCUGGGCGUCACGCAUCGCGUCGCCCCCCACAAAUUCUCCGUCAGGGGAGCUUGUGUUUCGGGGGCGGAUACUGGUCCCGUGCUCAUGGCGCGGUUGGCCGAAAUAGGAGUCCCUUCGAUGGACGCACGAACUAGUGGUGGUCGUAAAAACCCUCGUCUUUUGUUUCGUGCCGUUAGUCGCGAGGGAAGCUCUUCAAAAACCCCAGCGCGUCGUCUCUUGACGGCGCUUCGACCGCGACCCCAGGUCAGGCGGGACUACCCGCUGAGUUUAAGCAUAUCAAUAAGCGGAGGA
rnacentral:misc_RNA from 1 species